GAUGAACGCUGACAGAAUGCUUAACACAUGCAAGUCGAUUCGAUUUACCUUCGGGUAUUGAGGAUGGCGGACGGGUGAGUAACGCGUAAGGAACUUGCCUCUUGGUCUGGGACAACUGUUGGAAACGACAGCUAAUACCGGAUAUUAUGAGAUUCUCGCAUGGGAAACUUAUGAAAGCUAUAUGCGCCAAGAGAGAGCCUUGCGUUCCAUUAGCUAGUUGGUGGGGUAACGGCCCACCAAGGCGACGAUGGAUAGCCGGCCUGAGAGGGUGAACGGCCACAAGGGGACUGAGACACGGCCCUUACUCCUACGGGAGGCAGCAGUGGGGAAUAUUGGACAAUGGGCCACAAGCCUGAUCCAGCAAUUCUGUGUGCACGAUGAAGGUCUUCGGGUUGUAAAGUGCUUUCAGUUGGGAAGAAGAAAGUGACGGUACCAACAGAAGAAGCGACGGCUAAAUACGUGCCAGCAGCCGCGGUAAUACGUAUGUCGCAAGCGUUAUCCGGAUUUAUUGGGCGUAAAGCGCGUCUAGGCGGAAAAAUAAGUCUGAUGUUAAAAUGCGGGGCUCAACUCCGUAUUGCGUUGGAAACUGUUUUUCUAGAGUACUGGAGAGGUGGGCGGAACUACAAGUGUAGAGGUGAAAUUCGUAGAUAUUUGUAGGAAUGCCGAUGGAGAAGUCAGCUCACUGGACAGAUACUGACGCUAAANCGCGAAAGC
rnacentral:rRNA from 1 species